AAACCUACCUGGCAGGGGGAAUACCGCGAUCAAGAAUGUGGUUCCCUAGGAUGAGGAUCUUCCACUGCACACUUUUUUGGGUUGACCCCCAUGACUUCCUUAAAUGUGGGAAACUCAAUUGCAUAAUUUAUGGUAUUUUGGUACUGUCUCCUUUAAUUAUGCUCCAUU